rnacentral:rRNA from 1 species
AGGAACACGUGAGAAACCUGCCUCGGAUUUUGGGAUAACAAAUGGAAACGUUUGCUAAUACCAAAUAACGUCGGAGAGUCACAUGACUUUCUGACGAAAGGAAUUCCGAUUCGAGAGGGUCUCGCGGCCUAUCAGCUAGUUGGCGGGGUAAUGGCCCACCAAGGCAACGACGGGUAGCUGGUCUGAGAGGACGACCAGCCACACUGGAACUGAGACACGGUCCAGACACC